AUACGGGGGGUGCAAGCGUUAUUCGGAAUCACUGGGCGUAAAGAGUACGUAGGCGGUUUGGUAAGUCAGGUGUGAAAUCCCGAAGCUCAACUUCGGAACUGCAUCCGAUACUGCCAGACUUGAGUAAUGGAGAGGCAGGUGGAAUUCUCGGUGUAGCAGUGAAAUGCGUGGAUAUCGAGAGGAAGACCAAUGGCGAAGGCAGCCUGCUGGACAUUUACUGACGCUGAGGUACGAAGGCUAGGGGAGCGAAAGGGAUUAGAAACCCUAGUAGUCC
rnacentral:rRNA from 1 species